rnacentral:piRNA from 1 species
UGGGACCAGAUAUUCUGUAGAGAUGAUGAC